rnacentral:rRNA from 1 species
CGCGUGAAAGCGAGCACGACGCGAAAACGGAACGAAAGUCCGGUCGUCUCGUAGUAGAAAAAAGUAGCGCUCGUUCGAUGCAUUUCCGAAGGGUAAGCGCCGCGACCGAUGUCUAAGGCUAGCGAAACUGCGGGAUUGAGGUUGAGCUCGUUCGCGAGUCUCGUUACCAGUCCUUCGGUACGAAUAGAAUUCGUUAGACCCUGACAUCGAGAAUAGAACAAAGAACGUCGGUGAAAUAUAUACGCUCACCAGUUACGACGGACGUACGGCCRUUCGAUCGUCGCCUGCUCGCAGGUUACGGUUAGUAAUCGGGUCUGUAUCCGAAGUCGUUGGUGACGUUUCGACGUUCGGGCGUCCGCGGCGUCCGAGUCGGUCACCCGUCCGACCCGUCUUGAAACACGGACCAAGGAGUCUAACGUAAGCGCGAGCUAAUGGGUGGAAAACCCAUAAGCGAAAUAAAAGUAAAAGCCGUUUCGGACGGCCGAGGUACGAUCCCGAAGAACGAAAGUAUCUACGGGCGCAGUACCGUCCCGUCCCGACCGCUUGUCGGUAGGGCGGAGAUAGAGUGCAUACGUUGGGACCCGAAAGAUGGUGAACUAUGCCUGAGCAGAGCGAAGCC